rnacentral:rRNA from 1 species
UACGUAGGUGACCAGCGUUGUCCGGAUUUACUGGGCGUAAAGCGUGCGUAGGUGGUUUGUUAAGUCUGAUGUGAAAGCCCUGGGCUCAACCUGGGAACUGCAUCCGAUACUGGAUGGCUUGAAUCCGGGAGAGGGAUGCAGAAUUCCAGGUGUAGCGGUGAAAUGCGUAGAUAUCUGGAGGAAUACCGGUGGCGAAGGCGGCAUCCUGGACCGGCAUUGACGCUGAGGAGCGAAAGCUAGGGGAGCAAACGGGG